GCGUGAGUGAAGAAGGCCUUAGGGUUGUAAAACUCUUUCAGUGGGGAAGAUAAUGACGGUACCCACAGAAGAAGCUCCGGCUAACUCCGUGCCAGCAGCCGCGGUAAUACGGAGGGAGCUAGCGUUGUUCGGAAUUACUGGGCGUAAAGCGUACGUAGGCGGAUCGACAAGUUGGGGGUGAAAUCCCGGGGCUUAACCCCGGAACUGCCUUCAAAACUGUCGAUCUAGAGACCGGGAGAGGUAAGCGGAAUUCCUAGUGUAGAGGUGAAAUUCGU
rnacentral:rRNA from 1 species